rnacentral:lncRNA from 1 species
GGAACUACGAUUUUGAUUUCGAAUAAUAAUAUUUAUAUAUAAUAUAAUAUUUUUUAACAAUACAUAUAUAAUAUAUAUUAUAUAACAUAAUGAAUACUGACACAUCUAACAAUUAACAAAAAUAAAAAAGCAAAAGUGCAAAUUGAAAUUGCAAAACCUAAUCUAUUAACUCUUCCGCCUCUUCUUCAUCGUCUCGCAACUAAGGCUCACUGUCUCACCUUCCUUUCUCGGCCUCCACCGCCUGCUAGUCUUCAAUUGAGAGUCAACAGCCCAGCUUUCCUACUUUGUCAGCUUACUCUCUCUCUCACUCUCGGUUUCACCUUCAUCUUCACGCCAUCUUCACUCUUCAUCUUCAGCCCUUCAUCUUCAAGGACAAAGCAAGCUAUUUCAGGAAUGUUUAAGUGGUUGAUAGCUCCAACAAUCUCAAGGCUCCCAAAGGUCUUGGCACCUUUACUAAGCAAUCCAACUGCUAUGAUGUCCAGACUAGUAGCAAUGGGGAUUGGGGCCAUUACUUUUACUUUGGAGACCCUGGUAGAAAUCCCAAUUGCUCUUGAACAACUACCCCCACCCCCACAAAGAAAAAAAAAAGAAAAAAAAGUAACUACUUCCUCUGUAUUAUCUGACGUAGUCUCCUACCUUACCCCUCUUUAGAUCUGUCUCUCUCUCCUCAUUAUACACAACCACCAUCCUUUUUUACCAUUUUCGUUUAGGUCGUGUUAGUAAAAAUGCCACCUUUUCAGUAGUUGGAAGUUUUGCCCCUUUGGAUAAGUAAAAUGGGGAGAAACGGCCUUGGUUUCUCAUAAGCUCAAAAGAAACAGGGUCUUUGUUAAUUUCUUUAUAGCAAUUUCUUUCUUUGAUGCUCCGCGCUUGGGAGUGCUAUUGUGACUAGAAAUGUUUUGAGUGUAGCUUAAUUGUUAUGUUAUCAGCUUCAUUCUUUACCUUUUCCUCUUGAAUUUGAGUAAGAGAAACAGUCGACUUGUGGAAUCCAAGGGGACAACACUUGUGGAAGUCAUUAAAUUCGAACAGGUUUUUCUAUUUUUUUAACAAGAAAAAAAAGGAACAGGUUUGAAUUCGGCGCAUUCGGAAUUCACCGAAUUCCGAAUUCAAUUCGGCAUCAAAUUCGAAAUUGGAAUUGGCCAUUUCGAAAUCGAAUUCAGCCGGAAAAAUUCAUUAAAAAAUUUCAAAAAAUUCUAAUUUCAAACUUUCGAUUUACCAAUUUCAAUUUCAAUGCACAACCUUAUCUCUAAUGACCAUUGUAGCCCUCAAAUUAUACGUCCGUUGAUUCAAAUUUAGGCUUCAUUUGAAUUGAGAGAAAAAGACAGAAAACAAAAGUAUCCUGAGGGAAAGUCUAUCAUUUCAUUCCUUUAGGAGUUUUCACAAGGACGGAAGAGAAACGAAAUGAACGAAUGUGAAUUCCUUUAAUUGAUGAAAAUUUUUCCACCCAAUUUUGGGAGGAAAAUGAUGGAAACUUGUUGGGCGCCAAAGGAUAUUUUUAAUAUGACAAUUUUAUCCUUUAAAAGCUGAUACAAAAUGUCAUUAUUCCCGAUAUAUCCUAGAGUUGAUUUCUAAAAGCAUCAAUGCAAAGCUUUCUGAGUUCUAUACUUUCUAUACUUCCAACUAGUUCUUUGAUUUUUUUUGUUCUUCAUCCACAGUUCAAUAAUAAAAGAUAUUUCUUUAACUCAAUCUCUUCUUUCUUUCUUUGCUCAAUCUUCUCUAGAAAAUCGUGAAAAAGCAUUUUUUCUAUGUAUAGAUUGUUAUUGUUUAUAUUUUAAAUUUGUUGUUCAUUUUCUAUCAUAAAAUUCUUGUCAAUGAACUCUUGAUUUUUAUAGUAUUGAUUUGUGAUUAUAUCUUGCAUGGUUAUGGUACGUGUAAGCUCCAGCGGUAAUGCAUGAAUAUAAAAUUUGAAUGCAUACAAUAUAUUUGUUUAUUUGCCUACGUAAGCUUCAAAUUAUAAAAUGAUUCAGCAAGAACUUUCAUUUCUCAUGGAUUCCAGUUUUCAUGUUAUAAAUCAACAAUCCAAACAACUUCACAAAAACUGAUGCCUCUAGGAGUUUUAUCAUCCAUGGGAUCAGCCCCUGACUCUGAUCAUCUGAUCAGAGACGAUUAGCUUUUUAUAAAUAGAACUAAUAAUUAUGAAACGGAUAAAAAAUGUGCCCUACACCAUUUGAGAACUCAACUUAUUAUUAUUCAUCUUGUGAGAAUACAUAUGCAAUUGUUUUAGAAUUUUAUCCUGUCCAAAUAUUCUAUUUAUUGGAACAAGAAAGCUAAUAUUUGGAUUUUAAUUUAAAAAUUAAAAGGCAAAUACGUAAAGUUAUAAUCUCAUAAAAUCUUUUCUUUCCAUAUCUCUCAACUCUCAACUAAGGGAAAGAUGUUUCUUUUCUUUUCUUUCAUUGAACUCCCAAACCAAAUAUACAUCUUUUCCCUUCUUUUCCUUUCAUUCCUAAGUUAUAUUUUCUUUUCUCUUCUUUUCUUUUCUCGUCCUUCAUAAGCUCCCUAUCGUUUUUGCUCUCUAGUCUCUCUUCAAUGGCGGCCAGUAAUCACAUUUAGGGCAUGUGCGGUGUCGCAUUGAAGCCUCAGCUCCUGCGGUCACUUUUUAGGGAAUACAUCCCAGACGAAAAACACUCCUUCAGAAACCCUUCGGACCUCUCUCACGUCGUCUCUGCCGUUAAAACUCAUUGUCUUCUCUGGGAAUAGGCCCCAUCUUCCACUGACCAAAAGCUCAGUGACGGCUGGAAGUCGGCCGUCGAUGCCUGGGUCAAUCGGGUCUCUGCCCUUGCUUCCAGCAGCAUGGUAAAAUAUUAUAGAGCACAUUCUACAUUUACGUUUCUCCUCAAUCAUUAGUCACACUUGAUCAUAUGCUUUUAAACUAAUCAUCUUUUGAAUGUAAAACAAGAUGGUAUCAUGGCGCACGCAUUUUAGUUAGAGAUAUGUAAACUCAGAAAGUAUGAGUCAAAAUGGUGUGGCACUGAGUCAGGGACUCUCAAAUUAGCAAAAAUCCAAACCCAUCUCAACUUCACAAAUGAUCAGUUUAGAACCCUUAUAAUUUGUGAGAAGUUUAACUCCGUGUUGAUUGUAGUAAUAGAGAAAAUUGAGCUGUAAGCCGAUGAGUUAAGAUUAAGUUCAUAACUGAAAGCUGUGAACACCUUGAUUUGUGGUUCCAACAAGUUAUGCAGCUGUGAACACCUUGAUUAGGUUGGCUUGUUAUAGCCAAUCCAAAAAGAGUUAAUUUGUCUUGGUCUGCAGAAACUUGCUCAUGGCUUGGCCUUACUUCCAAAAUCCCGAGGAGAUGAGGAUAGCUGGUCACUGAUGAUGCAGAAGGUCUUGAUAUUCAUAAAUAAUCAACUAAAUGUUAUGUUCCAAGGUCUAGAAGAAGGUAACAGUUGCUUUAAUUUGGAGAUGGAACUGCUAUUUUGAUUGAAUAUUUAGGUGCUGAUGUUUUAUUCACCUGUUGCAGAGGCCAGAAGUAGUGAGGUAGUGAGGUUGUUACUUCCUCCAGGGAAGGACCCCCCACCUCCCUUAGGAGGGCUAACGGCAUCAGCAAAAAACUCAGAUCAGGCAAUGAAGAGGCCUGAACAAGUAUUAGUUUCAAGAGUCUCUACCCUGAUGACCUGCUGUUGCACAAUGCUUACUGAUGCUUAUCCCGUUCAGGUGAUAUGCCUCGUUUAGUUUAUGAUAUCAAAUAUGUGUAAAUGACCGAAUUGAUUUCUUGUAUUUUUUAAGGGAGAUACAUGAACUCGUUACCUUGAGCAUAAGUUUGUCUGGUGCUCUAUGCAGGUUUCUGUGCCUGUUUGUUCACUGGUAGCUCUUGUUAAGAGAGUGCUGAUGGUCGAUGGCUCAUUCUCACAAUCCUCCCCUUUUAUGACUGCCAUGAGACAGGACUUGAUUUGUUUAGAACUUCCUGAAUUGCAUAGGUGCAGCCUGGAGCUUCUGAGUUCUAUUGUAAAGGGACUUCGCAGGUGACUGAUUUAUCUUCUUCUUGUUCUCUUUUAAAUGUAAUCACUCUAUUUAUAUCUUAUUAUAAAGCUUGUCCUUGAGUUCUUUGUCCGUUGGAUAUAAAGCUAUGCUCUUUAGUUUGAUUUCCUCUUCCUUCUUUAGUUUACAUUUCAAAAAUGUUAGUUGUAACAUGAUUUUGUAUGCGCUUUUGCAGUCAGUUGUUCCACAUGUGGCAGAUAUCACACGACUGCUAACAGAAUAUUUUAGGACAUGCGCCCUGCCAGAGUUAAGGAUUAAGGUUUACUCAAUUAUGAAAGUUUUGCUGAUGUCCAUGGGGAUUGGUAAGUAAUUGUUUAACAUAUCUUUUCACCUCUUUGCUUAUGUUGAUAUUGGGUGCCUGGAAAUUGAUGUUAGUUCCUGCGCUUAGUUCAUCUGUCAUGCGUUUGAUCCCUUAUGGAUGCAUGUGCAAGAAUAUAUGCUUGUAAGCAUGAGAUACUCUUCUCCUCCUCCUCUUGCUCAUUUCUGUCAUAUUGGGGGUUCAAAAAUAGAAGCACAUGGAGCAUAAGUUGCUCAUUAUUUUGAAACCUCUAAAAAGGCUGUAGCAUUGGAACUCGUGAAUCUUGUUAAAAUUUGCUUUAUAAAACUGUCAUUUGAAUAUCCCGACAUUCUACAAGUCUACAUGUUCUAUGGAAGAUCAUUGCAAUUAAGGUGAUUUUCCAUAAGUAUGCUGCUUGUCAAGAGCCCUGAAAAAGAAAUACUAAAACAAAAUGAACCUCAAUACUUUGCAUGAGUCCAGAGCUACUGUCAGUUUGGCCUUGAUGAGUUUAUUAGGCAAAACUUGUGAUUUAUGAUAUUAACACCGGGAUUGAUCUUGUACGUACUGGACAUAAAGGACUAUCAAAGGUUUAUAAGUGCAUUUGGUUGGCUGAGGUUAAUAUUCUUCAAAAGGCAUGAUACUUUUCAGGUUUGAGUUCUCUAAUUUUUUUCACUGGUCAAUAUCAGAUACAUGAGAUUUUUCGACAUCUCAGGUUUUUAUGGGAUACCAUUUGCAUGUUGUCUAUUGUUUUGCAACUUCUUUUGUGAGAACUAGAUAAUUGUCCAUACUCGUGUUUUUAUUUGAAGACAUUUUGAACAUGAUGGUAAUUUUCUACUUGAUCUACUACCGUAUCUAAGUUCGAACAUGCUGCUUUACUCAUAUGUAGAUGGUUAUAACGAGGUAUCAGGUUGAUGCUCAGAAUUUUAAUCAAACUACUUUGACUUGAGGACAUUUGGUGUCAUAACCAGGCACUAAUCUUUUGUUAUCUAACCUCGUUUGUUUCUUUUUGUGAUUUAGAAGAUGUUUUCAUAUAUAUCUUUUGCCAAAUUUGUUAACAAAAAAAUCGUGCACCCAUUGUGCAUCCUAUACCAAUUUUGUGUGACAAUUUUUUUUCCUUACUUGCCUUUCUCUUAAUCCAUAUUUGAUAUAGGUUUGACUUUGUAGCUUGCUACAACCGAUUUUUUUUUAGCAUCUAACUUUUUUUUUUGGAGGGAUUUUAGCAUCUAACUCAGUGGCAAUAGUUUUGGUGCUUACCAAAUUUGAAGUGGUGUUUUUUAGAGUAGUGCUGUUGAUACUUAAAAAAAAAAAAAAUCUUCUUGUAAUUCGUUCAAUUCAAUAACCCUUUACUACCUCUUUCCUUCUUUCGCAAACAAAUACAGAUGCACACAGAGAUCUGUCACGUGGAAUUGUUUCUCCUAAUGGUGGUGGUUCUUGACAGGGAUUGCAAUAUAUCUGAUCCAGGAAGUUAUAAGCAAUGCAUUCCUUGAUCUGGAUCCUCAUGGUCGUGAGAGUGGUGGCUCGUACUCUGCUGCACGCUCAAAGGCCUUACAGGAUGCACUGCAACAAUGUUUUCAGAGAAAAAGGAAGCACCCAACUUCAGCUGAAUCUGUUGGAGACCAAUCUGCUAAAGGUGGUCUGGAAGUGGAGACAUCCCAAAAUAUGACUGCAAUAUCUGUCAGGAUUGCUGCAUUAGAGGCAUUAGAAGCUCUUUUGAGUGUGGUAUGUUCCUUCUUUAUCUAAUUAAAUGCAUUGAGUUACCAUCAUUUAUAUGCUUAUGAGAAUACUACUUUAGCUAUUGACUUAGCAAAAGGUGUGCUCACAAAGUACCUCAAGUUGGUCUUUCAUUCUGCUUCUUUCUACUGUCUCCGUGGUUAUUUUGGAAUAAGAAUUCACUUUGGAAGCCUUAGAGAGGUGCUUCAUUUUUGGUCUUGUACCGUGGUAGAUCCUGUUAAUUGUGCUUUUUAUGCAGCCAGUAUUAAGCUCCUUGAGCUGAAACUUCAUGUAGACGGUGUAAUGGUCUAUCUAGCUGUACUUAUCUGGAGUUAUAUGCAGUAUGCUUAGUUAGUCUUGCCGACACAUCUAAUCUGCUUUAGUGUUAAAUAUCAUCCAUUAUGGCUGUGAUGUUCUAGUUGGUGCUAAGUUGACCCAGACUUCAGGCAUUUUCAAGCCUUAUUUAGGAGGCCUAUGCACUGAAUUUGCCCCUUGCACGUUUAAUUAUGUUUCCAUAUUGUCACUUAAUGGAAUAAUUAGCCUGAUUUUCUGAGAUGGUAGGCAUCUACUUUAUUGGAUGUACUUGUCAGUAUUUCAGUAUUCAAAUGAAUGCAGCUCCUAUUUUUCUCUAAUUGUGAUUCCAAUAAACUGUAUAUGCUUUCAGAUAUUUUUUGUCAAUAGGCUGGGGCCAUGAGAUCAGAUGGUUGGCGAUCAAAUAUUGAUCGUCUCCUUAUAACAGUUGCAACAAAUGCUUGCAAAGUGGGAUGGGCUGACAACAAUAGUACUGUAGUUUAUGGUGAAGCUACUCCUUUAUGGGCAGACUUCCAACUUGCUGCUUUACGCACACUUUUGGCAUCCCUUCUUUCUCCUGGUCGUGUUCGCCCUUCACAUCUUGCUCAGGGUCUCGAACUUUUUCGUAGAGGUAAGUGCUGUCCAGCCUCCAGUGUCAUCUUCUUCCCAUGCAAUCCAUGGGCUGUCUCCACGUUGUACAUUUGAAUUGGAGGCACGAACAAUUUUAUAUAAUUAAGAUAGAUGAGGGGAUACCAAGUCAAGUUGGUAAACAUGAAAUAGAGGUUGCUUGAUUUUGUCCUUUAUGUAACUAACAUGAGCGGUAUAAUUGGAGUACUUGUUAAAAUGCUUGUCAAAUGAGUGAUGUAUGCCUGCAAUUUGUCGUGGUAAUUUCGUUUGACAGUAAGAGGUCUUCAAUAUGUAAGAUAUGGAAGGAAUAACCGUACUUAUAAGAGGUUCUUCUGCGGGGCUACUUGAACCUUUUUUUUUUUUUUUUUAAGUUAAUGGAAUUGAAAAAGUCUACUUUUCUCGGCUUCUUGCUCAUAGAUUUAUGCGUUCUGGUGACUGCAGGCAGUCGAGAAUCUGGAACAAAAAUUUCUGAGUAUUGCUGUCAUGCUCUUUUGACCUUGGAAGUGCUCAUACAUCUUAGGGCCCUUCCAUUUAUAGAUCUUCAAUCGGCAGUUGACCAUUAUGGUAGUGCUAGCCUCAACUUUCCAGACGUACACUUCGCAGAUCACAGAAAGAGCACUUCAUUUCAUUUUAGCACACUAGGAAAGGAGCCUUCUCAGCCAGAGUCUGGGGAUGAUGAUCUUUACGAAAGGUGGCUGGCAAAUGGUGAUGAAACAGAUGUCAAUGACCUUGGAAAAUAUACCAGCAGUGAUAAAGAACCCCCUGGGACCUCUACCCAUCCAGCAUUAGAAAAGCUUCCUCGUUGUGGUUCUCCUUCUGAAAGAAAUAAGCGUGAAGGUGGUGAAUUUGGGGAAUCAAUGGCUGUUGCAGCUGACAAAGUACCAGUAGAUGGGGAUGAGAUAAUGGUUGACUUGCCGACUCCGGAAAGCUACAAGCAGACAGAGGAACGCGAUCAUAUUGAAGGGCGAAUAUUGGUUGCUACAGCUGGUGGUCAUACUGCCACCGAAUCAGAUGGACUGGUUUCAGGCAGUGCUACAUCAGCUGAUGGUCAUACAGAUUUUGUUGUAGCAGCAGGAAAAGAUGUCUCUUCUUCAGCAAGUAAAAGAAACACUAUGGUUACUGAGCAGAGUGUCACGCCAACAUCUGCGAAGGAUGUGGUGACAAGCCAAGAUCAUGAAUACACUAGGAUUGUGGAAAAGAUUUCUGCUACAAUAUCAAACACAGGAAGGGGCGCUGGAUUGGUGGUAGAAAUCAAUGACGACACUUCAAUGGAUUCACUUCCUGAUAUUGUGGAUGGUGAUCCCGACUCUGAUUGAGUGAAAAUGUAUGUGUAUGAUUGGGCAGUAUUCGAUUAGAUUUACUAAUGAAUGUGUUGAAAUUCAUUGUCUAUUGAAUUUGAAGUUCUUCGUAAGCAUGUUAGAAAAAUUAGGGGCUUUUUGAUCCUCGUAAAAGGUUUUACGCAAUUUUGAGAUGAAUGAAUGCAGUAGAUGAUAGAAGGCUUCUUUUAUCACUUAGCAAUGUUGUAAAAGCAGUUCGAAACAUAUAAUCCCAAACCAAUCUCAUUCUUCAAAACUAUUCCCAAACUAAUGCACUUACAAAAUAUAUUUCCUUGUUAACUUACUUGUUAUCACGUGGACUUCGAGUAUGGAAAGUAUUUACAUUUUCAUCUUAUAUUAAGAGGUACAAUCCACAUCAAUAAAUUUUUAAUAACUUUUCAAUAGUUCAAAUGUUGCUACUUAUGUACAAUCUUAAAGAUAAAUAAAAAUAUUUUUCUACCUAUUAUUGAGUUAAUUAGUAUUUCUCACAUUAGAUUGGCUCAUAUAGCAUGUUAAUUUUGAUAUUUACACUGACCUAGUUAUAUUUUUUCUCCUAUUCUUUUGGAAUGUUUACUUGUACUUCAAACAAUUUGAGUUUUUGCAAACUUCUUAAAAUUUACAAAGUUAGGAGACUACCAUAUAUAAAAUUGCAAGUAACAAGUAAAAAAGAAAGGAACUUGUGACAUAAUAAUCAAGAAUAAAGCGAGGGAGGAAUAAUGGCAGCAAAAAAAAAAGGUUCUUCAGCAAAAUCAUUGCAAUUUGGAGGGUGAUCAGCAAUUUUAAAACACUAAUUAUGGAUCCACUUUCCUUUUUUUUAAUUUGCUUACAGAAUGUCCUUAAGGCACUAAAUAAAGAAAAACUAUGUAAUAUAUAAACAAAAGAUUUACAAGUUAUUUUUUUCCUUUGACGGGGAGUCGACAUGGCAAUAACUAGAUUAAUAAGAGAAUAAAAACUGAAAGAGCAUUACUUUGGGAUUAUUUUUCAGAAAGUAGAUUAGUUUAGCCAAAAACUCAUCCAAGGGUCAUAGUUUGGAGCAAAUACAUACCAUAACAUGAUUCUUAGUUCUCUUCAUCACAUAUAUUGCUACAGAAUUCCACUCGCCAAGGGAACAACCAACAAGCGGCCACGAAAACACGGCGAUGAGAUGCAUUCUGACGCGCUCCAAUAGAAGUGACCAGGUGUGCAAUUUGCUAAUGUGUUUUUGUUUUUAUUCCAUUAGCGAAGUGGUGGUGUCAACGAUCAGCUUGUGUUGACACUUGACACUGAAGCUUAAACUUCUGAUAAUUCUAAAGUGAAAAUUUGUCAUGCAUUUUAUGUCUGAAUCUCCACUUCUUUCCUGAUACUGGGCAUCCUAGAAACGCCAUUCUAGUCCUGCAUUCUCGUUUGGGCUACAACCCACAUUGUCUAACUUUAUUAUUGUUUUAACAGUAAUGCCCUUAUCUAAUACUGUGAAUUUCUAUUUCAGUGUAGUCUGCUCGAAAUGCUACUUAUUAGUUAAUACUCCUAGGUAUUUUCUUUCCUACGUUAGCUAGCUCUCAUUUUCUUCUUUAUCGAGCUGAAAUAUUGGGAUCUCUUAGGUUUUACCAAAGCCAAGCAAGAGAAUCUAGAGGAUUGGUCAAAAAAGAAAUACUACUACUGAGACAAAAAACCAAAACAAAAAAUUAGUAGUGGAGUACGUAGGUGGAGAGUUGAGUGAAAGUCAAUCAAGUCUUUUCAUGCUUGCUGGAAAAAUUUAUGCUUCAUUUGACUCGAAAGAUGGAAAGCAACUAACUUUCGUUCUCUGACCGGAUGCAAAUAUGAAAUCUCAUCUCUGUUAGAAUCCAUAUUUUGGGCUGGUAUGCAAAAUUUUCUUAUAACAAGACUCGAUUUCUUUAACAGCUAGAUCAUCGUAUACUUGUCACUACGACUUUAGCAGCAAUUGGUGGCUUAUGGUUCUCAACUAGGAAACUGGAACUUCAUCCUGCCAUAUGCUCCUUGAUCGGAAGUAUAGUUGGCGUGGUUGCUCUCCAGGUGUGUCCUACUAAGUUCUAGCAAUCCUCGUUGGCGAGCUUAUCACAAUUGUCUGGCCAGUUCCUUGGCAUGAUUGCCUUUGUCAAACAUGCAUGAAUGAUUUUGCAUUUAUGUGUUAAAUAAAAUUUGCUCCAUCGGCAGGUCACUUUGAGAGUAUCAACUCUUCUGUCAUACGUACCUGUGUCACCUGGCAGUUGGCACAGCUCAUCAAGCUGGAGCUCUAAUGCUUCUGAGUCUGAUGCUUCUGCUCAAUCACACCGUACGUCGGCCGAUGUCACUUCUAAAAGACUCUGUCUCCUGUUGUAAAAACAGUCACCUAGAUGAUCAUCAGGACAAUGUGUAGUAGACGGCGGAUUAUUUUCAGCUUCCGAUAUUUAGAUUACUUAAAAAGAAACUGCAAAUGAGAGUUCUGAAUGUAGCUGUUGUAUGGUCUUUGGCCAAUAGAAGGUACGCGACAAUAAUGCCUGCAUUCGUUCAACUCCAGAAUGACCAGUCCAAGAAUCAUCGUGAGACUCUUGUAGUAACUGUCGCCUAAGUCCCCCUUCUGCUGGAACAUAUGCUUGACCACUAUUGGCAAAGAGUAAGUCAUCCUCCAGCCAAUAACGACGAACUUUGACUUCACAAACACCAAGUUUUGAUAAACUGGGUCACUUGGGGACUACCAUUUGAUCUUGUCCCUGAAGUCCGUCUCAACAGUAUUAAGCACAAUAAUGUAUUCUUCGACAUACUUUCUACUAAGUACGUCGACCACUGCAUUCUCCCUUCCUAACUUAUGAAUCCAGUCAAAGUCAAAUUCAACCAGAAACUCUUGCCAACGAGCUUGCUUCGGGGUCAACUCUCUUUAUGUCUUAAAGUAAGUAUUGUCCAUGUUAUUAGUUACAACCACAAACUUGGUUCCUAAUAGAUAGUGCUUCCAUAUUUUGAGGCAAUGCACAACAACUGUCAUUUCUUUCUCAUGCGUACUAUGUCUUUGCUCGCAUUUUUUCAGCUUUUUACUUUCAAAUGCAAUCGGGUGCUUCUCCUGCAUAAGUACUCCUCCAAUCGCAUGAUCUGAAGCAUCAGUAUACACUUCAAAAGCUUUCGAAAGUUGCAACACUAGCACAGAAGCAAUCGCUUUCUUCAGCAUUCUGAAUGCAUCUUCGUACUCAUAAUCUCACAGCCACGGUCUAUCCUUCUUUAGUAGGUCAUCUUUGAGUAUCCCUGGAUAAAGUGCCUGUAGUAGUUAGCCAAACCAAGGAAUGACUUUAGUUCUGCGACUUUCUAGGGUGCAAGCCAGUCAAGGAUCGCCUCAACCUUCCUGCAAUCCAUCUGGAUCCAACCAUUGUUCAAUACAUGGCCAAGAAAAGUGAUUUGCUCCCUACAAAGCUCACACUUUUCUUGCUUUAUAUAGAGUUCGUAUUCCUUCACCUUGCGGAAUACUACCCUCUGAUCUAUAUGGUCCUUCAAGGAUUUCGAAUACACAAUAAUAUCAUCUAAGUACACUAUGACAAACUUAUCAAGAAAAUCGUACAAGACAUCAUUCAUUAGUCCACAAAAGGUAGCAGGUGCAUUCGUCAAACUGAAUGGCAUAAUGAGAAAUUCAAAGGAAUUAUACCACGUCACUACCGUUGUCUUUUCCUCAUCUCUUGGGGCUAUUCAGACUUGCCAGUACCCAGACCGCAAAUCAAUUUUGGUGUAAAAUCGUGCCAUCACUAGCUCGUCGAACAAGUUGUACACAUUUGGAAUGGGUACUUGUUUUUUAUCGUGAUCUUAUUCAAGGCAUAAUAGUCUACACAGAACCUCAACGUUCCGUCAGCCUUCUUCUGGAAUAACACUGGAGUACUGUACGGAUACUUUGACGAUCUCAGCUCUUGGCUAUCUAACAAUUCAUUAAGUUGGUAUCGCAACUCAGCCAACUCUAUCGGGGACAUGCGAUAAGGAAUUUGGGCAGGUGGUUGGGCUCUUGGAACCUACUCGAUCUUGUGUUCCACAGCACAGGAUGGAGGAAACUAUUUUGAAAACUUUGCAAGCAUGAUAUCUGUAAACUUCUCUAGAACAUGGGCCAUGGCGUUGGGUACUUUCUGGUACAUGUUAGGUUUGGUUUCCACCAAUGCAGCAAUAUACACAACUUCACCGCGCCUCAGAAGAUAUGACUUAAUCUCUAUCGUUGAUACCAUGUUCUUUUAUUGAUUGUUCUUUUGUUUCUGCAACUUUACUACAAAAGGUAUUUUGGAAAAGUGGAUAGCUUUUGGCGCUAGUCAGAAUGUAGUCAAAAGGUAUUUUUCAUGUCAAAAAACGGGAUACCUAUUAAAAAAGUUUUUUUUCAUGUAGAGACAUAUAUGCUACAUAAAAUAGGACCUGUCUAACGGAUGUCCUCUUCGUUAAUAUAUAUUUUUAGAUGUUAUAUUUUUAAAAAUAUAAAAUUAAUUAGAGAAAGUAAAUAAAAUAAGAAAGAAUUCUAGGUAAGAUUAAAUAGGAAAAAUAUAUAAAUAUAAAAAUUAUUAGUAUGUGUAUAUAUGUAGACACCAAAAAAAUUUCAUAAAUCAUUUUAUGAUUUGUUAAUAACUAUUAUUAUUUAUUUUUAUUUAUUUAUCUCUAUUUAUAUUUUUACCUUUUUUUUAAAAAAAAUCAUUCCAUCUCAUUUGAUUUCUAUUUGAUUGUUUUUGCAGAAAAAUUAGAAAGAAAAGAAAAGGAAAUACAGAAAAGGAAAAAGAAAAAAAAUCAAAAUCAGAUGUAAAAAAAAAAAAAAUUUCCGCGCUUGGUGCAUCUUCAAGCUUCGUACAAGAAGCAAAGUAGUAGUACAAAAAACCAGCUCGGAUUGGAGCAAUUCCCAUUCGUAUUUCCCUUUUCUUUUCUCUUCCUUUUCCUUUCUUUUUCCUUUUCUUUUUCUUUCUUUCUUUCUCUCUUCUUUUUCUUUCUUCUUUCUUUCUUUCUUCCAUCCUUCUCCAUCCGAACUCCACCGCCGCCAACCAUCAACAUACGUCGAGCUCCACAGUCAUUCGCCCCUCACCUGUAGCUGUCGACGGCCCCCUCAGUUAUCAAGGAAGUUUCGUUAUCCCCAUUACUUUUCUUUUAUUCUUUAUUUUACAUUUGGGACAAUGUAAGAUUUAGGUGUGUGGGGGAAUAGCAUAUGAUAGUAUAUUGGAAAAGUGCAAAUAUUGGCCAUAGUUGCUGCUGUAUAGAAGUGGAGACCUUAUCUACCUGGAAGGUACGUUAUCAUUAAAAAUGACCAUUAGAGCAUUGAAUAUAUGAUGGAACAAAAAUUGAACACUCUUAUGUAGGCUUGUCAACGGGCCGAGUCCGGGUCGGAAUUCAUUAUUCCAGACCCGGACCCGGCACACUAUAUCGGAUCCGAACCCGACUCGUUUACCCGAUGGGUCUUUACUCUAUGUUCCGGAUCCAGAUCCGACGGGUCCCGGAUCCGGAUCCGGGUCUACCCGAAAAAAAACUAACAAAAUUUAUAAUUCCUAACAAAAAUAAGAAAAAACAUAUAUUUAUAAACUAAUUUCUAACUAAUACAAAAAAAAUCAAAUAAGAAAAGAAAUCAAAUUAACCUUACUCAAAUACAUCAUCCUAAUCAAAUUAUAUUGAUUAGGAUCCGGGUCCAAUUAUAUUGAUUACUCAAAUACAUCAUCCUAAUCAAAUUAUAUUAAUAAAUAUAUAUUUUUUAAAUUAGUAAUUCAUUUAUAUCCGGAUCCGGGUCCAAUACGGGUCGGAAUACUAUAUUUCAUAUCCGACCCGUUUUUUUGUUUGGCAAAAUGGAUCCGGGUCCGGGUAACGGAAUUAAAUCCCUACCCAUACCCAGAUAAAUUUAACGGAUCCGGUCCGGGUCCGGGUCUAGACCCGGACCAUUGACAGCCCUACUCUUAUGCAGCAGAAAUGGAUGGCUAAGCUAGUAAGAUUUUAUUAUGAGCUUCACUACAGGAAAGAAGCAUAUAAUAUGGUGAGAGAUACUCUCUUUAGAAAACUAGCAGAACCAAGAGAAGCUCUUGCCAUCAUCAUUGUUAACAGUGAUCUUUGAUAGUGAUUAAAAAGGGAUGGCAAAUAGAUAUAAGGCUAUAGAACUUCAUCACUCAAUUACAAUUUGAUCUUUCUAAGGUCUCACCUUAUUACACAUGGAGCAACUAGCAGUUAAGGAGGAUGGGGAGACUAGUGGUAGAAAAUGACUGCCAAUUCAAGAAUAAUAUAAUUCACUUGUGGCAUUCUAGUGCUGUUGGAGGCAUUCAGGAGUUUAUGCUGCCUAAAAGAAGUUGAAGUCAGUGGUUUAUUAGAGAAGAAUGUAUCAAGACAUAGUCAACUAUGUGGCUGCAUGUGAUGUCUGUCAGUGCAACAAAUAUGACAAUACUGCUGAUUUGGGUUUAUUACGACUUUUACGUGUGCCUCAAAAGGUUUGGAGUGAAUUUCCAUGGACUUUAUGGAAGGUUUACCUAAUGCACAUGGUAAACAAGCCAUCUUGGUGGUGGUUGACAAGUUAGGUAAGUAUGCACACUUCUUGGCAUUGUCACAUGCUUAUUCAGCAUUUAUAUUUGCACAUAUUCCUGGAUCAGAUCUGUAGACUUCACGGCUUGUCUCAUAGCAUUGUUAGUGACAAGGAUGUGGUCUUCAUUAGCACUUUUUGGCAAGAACUUUUUAAGUUACUAAAAGUGCAGAUUAAUACCUCUUCUACCUACCACCCUCAGUCAGAUGGUCAAACUGAGGUGGUAAACAGGUGUUUGGAGUAAUAUUUGAGGUGCCUGUGUGGAGAUUUUCCAAAGCAGUGGUCUAUCUAGUUACCCUUGGCUGAAUAUUGGUACAAUACCAAAUUUCAUGCUGCCACUAAGGUUAUCCAAUUUGAGGUGGUGUAUGGUCAUGCACCAUCUCUGCAUAUGCCUUGUCUACUUGGGAAUUCAGUAGUGGAAGUGGUGGAUAGAAUCUUGGCAGCAAGGGAGAUAGUUUUGCAUCACUUAAAGUACAACCUUCAUAAGGCACAAAAUAGGAUGGAGCAACAAGCUGACCAACACAGGUCUGAUAGACAGUACUCAGCAAGAGAUUGGGUAUAUGUGAAACUACAACUGUAGAGGCAACACUCUUUGAAGGUACACUCUUGUCAGAAGUUAGCUUCUAAGUUUUUUGGACCUUUCCAAGUGAUCAAAAGAGUACACCCUGUUGCAUAUCAGCUUUAGCUGCCUAAUAUGGCAAAAAUACACUCUAUUUUUUAUGUAUCUCUUCUAAAGAAGAAAGUGGGCACUCACUAGUUACCUCACACAUUCCUUUUGCAAUCAAUACACAAUCAAUACAUAGGGAUAAUUAUUAAUGGAGCCUAUAGCCAUACUUGAUCAGAAAUUGGUGAAAUGUGGUAACUCUCUUGCUACAAAAGUUUUGGCAUAGUGAAGCAAUUCUUUUCUUGAAGAUGCUAUCUGGGAAUUCUGGUUUGACCUUAAACAACAAUUUCCUGAAUUUAAUCCUUGAGGACAAGGAUUCUCUGAGGGGGAAGUAUUUGUUACCUUAGUUUUAUUGAUAGGGUUUUUUUUUUUUUGUAAUAAAGCGAGUAUGAUAGGGACUUAAUGAAUAAAUCCUUAUAAUUCUUGUAUGUCAGUUGGUUGUAAUGAAUUAGCUGACUUGGACAAGUGUAGUAGCCGAAUAAAAGAGAGGAGGGUGGUAAGUUGAAGGCAGUUCUAGGAUUUCCGAUUUCCAUUACUUGUAAUUGAUUAUCAUCUUCAUCUACAUUCUUCCUACUCAUUCAUCAAUUAAUAACAAUCCCUAAUUCUCUGAGUUGUCUUCUUUCUUUCUUAAUUACAGCUCCUUGAAUUAGUAAAUUGUAGUGGGAUCUUCUACUUUCUGCAACAUUCACCUUCAAGUGCUUCUUGUUUCCUAAAUAACGAUAUAGCCUUUGAUACUAUUUUCUUUGUUUUCUGUCUUCGACAGAAUUGUUCUUGGAAACUAGUUUUAGGGUUUCCUUUGUUUCCUUUAAUUCCCAUUUUCAGGGAUUUUCUCUGUUCUUCCCUUAAUCAAUUGAAUUGCAAACUCUCUUACAGGACGCAAUUACAUCAAUCUUGGUUUAGCAGUCUGUUAGGAUCCAAACAUGGAAUAAACAACUAUUGAGAUAUCAAGUACGCUACAAUUUAAUGAGAAACAAGCUACAAACAUGAAAGAUAAAUGACACACUAUUUUUUAAUGUGGUUCGACUCCACCAUUGAAUCUACAUCUACAGAGAGAAACUCGUUCUUUAUUAUAAGAGAAAAAUUCUAUACAAGAACACAACUUGAACCCCAAUUCAACUUUUGUAUACCAUCUCUCAUCUCCUAAAAAUCCUCUCUCACCACCCAUGUAUAAGGCUAUAUGUCGUCUCUUGUGUGCUUUUGUGUGUCUCUUUGUAGUAUGCCAACCCACCUAUUUAUAAAGAAUAUUAUUUGGCCAAAAAAUUAAAUAAUAAUAGGAAACCAAUUCUAAUUUCUAGACUUGUAUAGAAUAGGAAAUAAUUUUUAAUCCUAAACAAAAUAGGAAAUUCUUUGGCUACUAUUUCAACUAAAACUAAUUAGGAAAUUAGUUACUUCUACACAAAACAAAAACCUAUCUGAAAAGAAAUUAAAUCAAUUUCCUAACAAAUCUCUAUCUUGGCGAAAAUUUCUUUUAACAAUUAUUUAUUUUCAACUACCAAAUAAUAUGGUACCGAACUACACACCCGAAUCAAUACAGUUCUGAUACCAAAUUGAUUUAAUUGCCAAAUGAAUAUGUGUAUUUACACCUAGUACAACCUCCAGUUGAUUCGUGAGAAGAUACCCCAAUUCACCUUUUUUCUUUACAGGAUUUCUUCUCACCACCACUUACAACCCAAAAUCUCCUUGUAUGAGCUCUAACCUUAACCAUUGAGGCAACCAAGUGAUAAAAUCAUCAUACUUCUUCCCUUCCUCAAGACUAUCUCGCCACGUGUGGUUUCCAAAAAUUCACCUGAAACAAAAGACUCGUAACUGUCAGAAUCUUCUAGCGCAUAGAAAUUAAAUCUCUUUAUUUUUUUGGGACACAUGCCGUACCACUCAAAAAACAUAAGUGAAAUCUAAAAAUCACCGAGAUGAAGUAUCAACCAUUGAAGUUGUGAGAAAGUUUCCACCGAUUCACGUCCAAAAUCGAUAUUGGAUUCCACCUUUUCCUUGACUCUUGAAUCAUCUGCCUAGAUUCACCAUCAAGUAUCUCCAUGCUUUUCGACUUUUCAUCAUUCACCGUCAAUGCUUUUUUGCUAAACUCUUGAAAUAAGGAUACCGCCCAUUAAAUUGUUCAAUUGGUAACAGUCACCAACCUACUUGAUCUCAAUAGCUAACUAGGAUCCAUCCUUGAACAACCAAACUCUUGAUCCAACUAUUCAGUUUGUUGGGAUCCAAGUGCUUGUGAGCAGCCCAAUCUCGCAAUCAAGUUCUGAUACCAUUUGUUAGGAACUAAAUGCAGAAUAAAUAACUAUUAAGAUAUCAAGUACACAAUAAUUUAAUGAGAAACAAGUCACAAGUAUAAAAGAUAAACAACACACAAUAUUUAACGUAGUUUGACUCCAUUGAACCUACGUCCAAGGAGAGAAACUUGUUAUUUAUUAUGAGAGAAAAACCUUAUACAAGAAUACAACUCGAACUCAAGUCCAACCAUUGUAUACCAUUUCUCAUCUCCUAAGAACUCUCUCUCACCACCCAUGUAUAAGGUUACAUGUCGUCCUUGUGUGCCCUUAUGUGUCUCUUUUAUAGUAUGCCAAUCCACCUAUUUAUAAAAAUAUUAUUUGGUCAAAAAAUCCAAAUAACAACAGGAAAUUAAUUCUAAUUCCUAGACUUGUAGAAAAUAAGAAAUAACUUCUAAUUCUAAACAAAAUAAGAAAUUUUUUGGCUACUAUUCCGAGUAACUAAAACCAAUUAGAAAACUAGUUACUUUUGCACAAAACAAAAACCUAUCUAAAAAGAAAUUAAGCCAAUUUUCUAACACAACCAACUUAUGAAUUGAACUUUAACAAUAAUGACAUCGGAGAAGAAUGAAAAUAGAUUAAGUAAAUCUAGCAAUAUAAGCCAAACACCUUAAGAAAUCUUAGCUGAGCCUUUCGUUAUCUUCUGAACCUCCUGCAAUUGCGACAUCAACAGAACCGUAAGCCUAAAUUAUUUUUGAAGGGGUUUGGUGCAAGCCUCUCUUGCAGCUGCAAUUUCAGUCAAUCAGUGGGAAUGCUCAUUAUUUUAGAACCAUUGUGGUAUUUUCUUUUUCCUUUUUUUUUUCACUUUUGGGGAUUCCAACCUUUUGACUAGACUAACCUCUUAAAGCUGCGCAGAGUUUUUACCCCAAAAAUACGUAGCAAUGUAGAGUUUUACGCCAAAAAUAUGCAGCCAUGUAGUACACGGGGAUUAAUAAUGGGAUCUGCCGAUAAUUAUCAGAUUACGAAAUUAGUCGGACUACCCGUGAAGGAUUUGUAGUGAUUUUCAUUUGAUGAUACAUAAAUGUUUAUUUUGGCAUCCAAAUGUAACAUAGUUAGUAAUAAGCCAGGAAUUAGAAAUAGCUCGAAGUUUUAUAUCCAAUGAAAUUUACAAGUUUGUCUUCAAAGUGAGAUAAAAAAAAAUUGGGAUGAAAAAAACUAUAAGUUCUCAUCAAUUAUGUGGAUUAAUUCUUACGGAAUGAUAUGAAACCUUAAAGGCUAUAAGAUAAUAAUUGAAAAAAAAACUCAAAAGAAAACAAGAAAGCGAAAAGUUAAAUCAUCUAUAAAUUUAACAUUGAAUUGGGUGGUAAAAUCAAUUUAACAUUCUCAGGUACCAUGUUCCUCGGUGGGUAGUGCACUCAUCUGAUUAAGUGAUAAUCCUGUCCCUAUCCGCCUCCCGUAGGUUCAGUUGGAUCUCUCCCUGUAGUUAGAUUAGGAUAUAAAUACAAAAAUGAUGAUUGACAAAAAAAAUAAAAAAAAAUAAUAAAAAAAAAUAAAAAAUGCUGGGUUUAUCAAUUAUACCCUCAACUCUCUCGUCUCUCUUCAAUGGCGGCCAGUAGUCACAUUCAAGGCGUGUACGACGUCGCAUUGAAGCCUUAGAUGCUGCGGUCACUUCUCAGGGAAUACAUCCCGGACGAAAAACACCCAUCAGAAACCUUUCGGACCUCUCUCACGUUGUCUCUGCCAUUAAAACUCAUUGUCUCCUCUCGGAAUGAGCCCCAUCUUCCACCGACCAAAAGCUCAUUGACGGAUGGAAUAGACUGAUGCCCCAAAUCACCACCUUCAUGCUCAUUUCUUUCGGAAGGAGAAUCACCACGAGGAAGCUUUUCAAAUGCUGGAUGGGUAGAGGUCCCAGAGGAUUCUUUAUCACUGCUGGUAUAUUUUCCAAGGUCAUUGACAUCUGUUUCAUCGCCAUUUGCCAACCACCUUUCGUACAGAUCAUCAUCCCCAGACUAUGGCUGAGAAGGCUCCUUUCCUAGUGUGCUAAAAUGAAAUGAAGUGUUCUUUCUGUGAUCUGCGAAGUGUACGUCUGGAAGGUUGAGACUAGCACUACCAUAAUGGUCAACUGCCGAUUGAAUAUCUAUAAAUGGAAGGGCCCUAGGAUGUAUGAGAACUUCCAAGGUCAAAAGAGCAUGACAGCAAUAUUCAGAAAUUUUUGUUCCAGAUUCUCGACUGCCUGCAGUCACCAGAACACAUAAAUCUAUGAGCAAGAAGCUAAGAAAAGUAGACUUUUUCAAUUCUGUUAACUUAAAAAAAAAAAGGAAAAAAGGUUCAAGUAGCUCUGCAGAAGAACCUCUUACAAGUACCGUUAUUCCUUCCAUAUCUUACAGAACUGAAAUAAUGAAGACCUCUUACCAUCAAAUGAAAUUACCACGACAAAUUGCAGGGAUAUAUCACUCAUUUGACAAGCAUUUUAACAAGUACUCCAAUUAUACCGCUCAUGUUAGUUACACAAAGGACAAAAUCAAGCAACCUCUAUUUCAGGUUUACCAACUUGACCUGGUAUCCCCUUAUCUAUCUUAAUUAUAUAAAAUUGUUCGUGCCUCCAAUUCACACGUAAAACUUGGAGACAGCCCAUGGAGAUGCAUGGGAAGAAGAUGACAUUGAACAGCACUUACCUCUACGAAAAAGUUCGAGACCCUGAGCAAGAUGUGGAGGGCGAACACGACCAGGAGAAAGAAGGGAUGCCAAAAGUGCGCGUAAAGCAGCAAGUUGGAAGUCUGCCCAUACAGGAGUAGCUUCACCAUAAACUACGGUACUAUUGUUGUUAGCCCAUCCCACUUUGCAAGCAUUUGUUGCAACUGUUAUAAGGAGACGAUCAAUAUUUGAUCGCCAACCAUCUGAUCUCAUGGCACCAGCCUGUUGACAAAAAAUAAAAAUUUUCAUUGUAAGCUCUGAAAGCAUAUACAGUUUAUUGGAAUCACAAUUAGAGAAAAAUAAGAGCUGCAUUCAUUUGAAUACUGAAAUACUGACAAGUACAUCCAAUAAAGUAGAUGCCUACCAUCUCAGAAAAUCAGGCUAAUUAUCCCAUUAAGUGACAAUAUGGAAACAUAAUUACACGUGCAAGGGGCAAAUUCAGUGCAUAGGCCUCCUAAAUAAGGCCUGAAAAUGCCUGAAGUCUGGGUCAACUUAGCACCAACUAUAACAUCACAGCCAUAAUGGAUGAUAUUUAACACUAAAGCAAAUUAGAUGUGUAUGACAUAGCAACGGCAAGACUAACUAAGCAUACUACUUUAAAUAGAUACCGGUAAGCAUAUAACUCCAGAUAAGUACAGCUAGAUAGACCGUUACACCAUCUACAUGAAGUUUUAGCACCAGGUGCUUAAAUACUGGCUACAUAAAAAGCAAAAUUAACAGGAUCUACCAUAGUACAAGACCAAAAAUGAAGCACCUCUCUAAGGCUUCCAAAGUGAAUUCUUAUUCCAAAAUAACCACGGAGACAGUAGAAAGAAGCAUACUUUUGAAAGAAGCAGAAUGAAAGACCAACUUGAGAUAGUUUGUGAGCACACCUUUUGCUAAGUCAAUAGCUAAAGUAGUAUUCUCAUAAGCAUAUAAAUGACGGUAACUCAAUGCAUUUAAUUAGCUAAAGAAGGAACAUGCCAUACUUAAAAGAGCUUCUAAUGCCUCUAAUGCAGCAAUCCUGACAGAUAUUGCAGUCAUAUUUUGGUAUGUCUCCACUUCUAGACCACCUUUAGCAGAUUGGUCUCCAACAGAUUCAACUGAAGUUGGAUGCUUCCUUUUUUCUGAAAAGAUUGUUGCGGUGCUUCCUCCAAGGUCUUUGAGCGUUCAGCAGAGUACGAGCCACCACUGUCAUGACCAUGAGGAUCCAGAUCAAGCAAUGCAUUGUUUAUAACUUCUUGGAUCAGAUACAUUGCAAUCCCUGUCAAGAACCACCACCAUUAGGAGAAACAAUUCCAUGUGACAGAUCUCUGAGUGCAUCUGUAUUUGUUUGCGAAAGAAGGAAAGAGAUAGUAAAGGGUUAUUGAAUUGAACGAAUUACAAGAAGAUUUUUUUUAUUAGUAUCACCAGUACUACUCUAAAAAACAUCACUUCAAAUUUCAUAAGCACCAAAACUAUUGCCACUGAGUAAGAUGCUAAAAUCCCUCCAAAAAAAAGUAAGAUGCUAAAAAAAAAAAUCUGUUGUAGCAUGCUACAAAGUCAAACCUAUAUCAAAUAUGGAUUAAGAGAAAGGCAGGUAAGGGAAAAAAAUUGUCACACAAAAUUGGCAUAGGAUGCACAAUGGGUGCACGAUUUUUUUGUUAGUAAAUUUGGCAAAAGAUAUAUAUGAAAACAUAUUCUAAAUCACAAAAAGAAACAAACGAGGUUAUAUAACAAAAGAAAAAAUGUAUAUACAUGCAUAUACUAAUGAAAAAAAAACUGCAUAACUUGUUGGAACCACAAAUUAAGAUGUUCACAGCUUUCAGUUAUGAACUUAAUUUAACUCAUCGGUUUACAGUCCAAUUUUCUCUAUUACUACAAUCAACAUGGGGUUAAACUUCUUAUAAAUUAUAAGGGUUCUAAACUGAUGUUUUGUGAAGUUGAGAUGGGUUGUAUUUUUGCUAAUUUGAGACUCUCUGACUCAGUUCCAUACCAUUUUGACUCAUACUUUCUCAGUUUACAUACCUCUAACAUAAAUGCGUGUCCCAUCUUGUUUUACAAGCAUAUGAUCAAGUGUUACUAAUGAUUGAGGAGAAAUGUAAACAUAGAGUGUGCUCUAGAAUAUUUUACCAUGGUGCUGGAAGCAAGGGCGGAGACUCGAUUGACCCAGGCAUCGACGGAGGACUUCCAGCCGUCAAUGAGCUUCUGGUCGGUGGAAGAUGGGGCCCAUUCCGAGAGGAGACGAUGAGCUUUAACGGCAGAGACGACGCAAGAGAGGUCCGAAGGUUUCUGAAGGGACGUUUUUCGUCUGGGAUCUAUUCCCUGAGAAGUGACCGUAGCAGCUAAGGCUUCAAUGCGACGUUGUACAUGCCCUGAAAGUGACUACUAGCUAGGGAUGGCAACGGGGCGGGGUUGGGGCGGGGGACCCCUCCCCCGUCCCCCGCCCCGUUGCCUAUUAGUUCCCCCCGUCCCCCGCCCCGUCCCCCGCCUCCUGCUCCCCCCGCCCUGCCCCGCUUCCCCCGCGGGUGCCCCCGCGGGGUUAAUAAAAUUUUAUUAUAAUUAAAUUUUAAUAAAUAAUCAAGUACUAAAAUAUCAACACAUCACCAAAUUAUUAUUUAUUGUAAUUUUACAAUUGAAACUCAUAAAAAUAAUCAAACAAAAGUUAUUUUAAUACAAUCCAAUAUGAUGAAAUAAAUAUAACUAAAAUAGUCAAGUUUUCACUUUUAGUACAAAUGCAAUCACUAAUUCAUUAUUGUGUUUGUGCUUUUUUUUUUAGAAAAAAGUGUUAUUCUAUUAAGUGUAAUUAGAAAUUUAGUAUAAAUAUAUUAGUAAAUUUAAUAUAACUAAUUAAUAAAUUCUAUUAGUAGACAUGUAGAAUUAUUCAUAUAAUUGAUUAUAUCAAUUAUAUUACAUAAACUAAUAUACAUUAUAUAGUAUAUCUAACUAAUAAUAUCAUUAUCAUAAGUUUAUAACUAAUUAACUUAUAUGUUAUAUAUAAUUAUAUAUAUUUUUAUAUUUUUUUUUUGUUUUGCGGGGGGCGGGGCGGGGGAUGGGGCGGGGGAAUACUCCCCCGCCCCCCGCCCCGUUUCUAAGCGGGGGGAAAAAAUUCCCCCCCGCCCCCGCCCCACCCCCCGCCCCAACCCGCGCCCCGAGAGCCCCCCGCGGGCACCCGCCCCCAUUGCCAUCCCUACUACUAGCGGCCAUUGAAGAGAGACUAGAGACUUGAGGGUACAACUGAUAAACCCUGACUUUGAAUCAACGAACGAACGUAUAAUUUAAGGGUUGCAAUGGUCAUUAGAUGGUACUUUUUUUUUUUUGGUCACUGAUCACUUUUUUUUAUCUAUAUUCCAAUCUAUCUUAAUUAGGGGUGUACAAAAUCAAAAAAUUCCGAUUUAUCGACCGAAUUCGAAUUGAAUUCGGAAUUUUGAAUUCAGUAAUUCGGAAUAUCCGAUUUCAAAUUGGUCGAAUUCGUUAAUGAGAUUUUUCAAAUCGGUAAUGAGAUUUUUCAAAUAUAUAUAUAUAACAUAUAUAUAAUAUAUCAUUUAUAUUAUAAUAAUAAUUUUUAUAUUCAUGAAUUCUGUGAAAUCAAAAUUCCUAUUUCGAUUUCAAUUUCUUUUUCACACACAUAUAUAUAAUAUUUUAUAUAUAUAUGUAACAUAAUAUUUAUAUAAUAAUAAUAAUAAUUUUUAUAUUAAUGAAUUCGAUGAAAUCUGAAUUUUCCGAAUUCCGAAUUGAAUUUGAAACGAAUUCGAAUUCGGGAUUGGUGAAUUCGAAAUCGAAAUUGGUCAAAAAUUCUGACACCAAAAUUUCAAAAAAUUCCGAUUUCAAAGUUUCAAAUUACCGAAUUCGAUUUCAAUUCACACCCUAAUCUUAAUAUAACUAUGGGAGAGGCCCAAUUGGACCUACAGGGACCGAUAAGAACAGAACCACCAUCGAACCAAAUGGAUGCACUGCGUAUCCGGGAACAUGAUAUCUGAGAAUGUUAAAUUCAUUUUACCAUCCAAUUCAAUGUUAAAUUCAUAAAUGAUUUACCUUUUCACAUUCUUAUUUUCACAGUGGUCGAUGAUCAAAUGAAAAAAGAAGAAAUUAUUGUUGCUUUUUCUCGAUGCUGUCUCUUUCAACAAUGCUGUCCACAGUGCAAAGUAUAAAAAUAGUCUCCAUGGUCCAUAGUCAAAAGAUUCCCAUUAAUUUUCGCAAGACCCACAUCAAUAGACUUCCCUAUAAAGCAUGAUUGAUAUUCUUUGUUUUGUUUGUCCACGAAAGUUUGCUACAAAAAAAAGCCAUUUUGGAUGCUAAAAGCAAUUUUGAAAUGUUUGGUAAAUAUUAUUCCAUAAAAUUAGGGGUGAAAUUUCUGAUGUUAAAAGUAUUUUUAGUAAAAGCUAAAAUUUGAUACUUUUAUAAUAGAUUUUAUGUUUUAAAAAAUAAAAUAUUAAAUUUAAUUAUUUUAUCCUAUAUUAUGAACUAAAUAUAAAGAGAUAAAUACAUUUAAAAAAUUUAAAUUUACACAUUAUCUAGUAUAAUAAGUACUUAUUGAAUCAUGUAUCCAAACAAUAUACUUAAAAGUACUUGAAUACUUAACAAGUGCUUUUAUUAAAAGCUUUAUUAGGUAAAAUACUUCUCAAUAAUUUACAACAAUCCUAAAUGGACCCUCAAAGGAUGCCAUGGCACUUCUACUUCCAUUAUCUUCUUAUAAUCUGAAAAUACUACAUUCUAGUUUCAUUGAGUAAUUGACGUCUACGUUUUGUGAGUUUCUAGUUUCAAAGUACAUUUUAGAUUUUAAAAAGAAAACAUUUCAUUGUUGGACCACUAACUGUAAUUAUCUGCACCCAUAAAACUAGUUAACUUUUUGCCCACCUCAAUUGCCUUUUUCACUGACUAGCAAUAUUGAAAGAAAAUCAAUAUGGGUUUGUGUAAAGCAUAAACUAUUGAAAUUUUUUUAUAAACUAAGAGCCCACCUGGAUUGCUAAAAUGGAAAUGCACACCGGAGGUUGGAAAAACAGAAGAGUAUUUGUUAACAUCCACUAUGGGGAAAAAUAAAGGUUCAAGGCGAGAAGUUGGCUGAAUGUUCUAAUAGGGCAAAAUACUCUUUACCUCCCCAUGAUAUAUAGUAUUUUCUCACGUAAUCCCCUUAUGAUUUUAAAAGUUAUACAUAAUCCCCUCAUGAAUAUUGGACUUGACAUUAGGAGAUGGGAAGGAUGCGGAGAGAGGUGGAAAAUGUAAAAAAAAAAAAAUUAUCCUAUUUGAUAGAAAUGAUAUAUAAUAUCUUCAUAAUUUGGACUAAAGUGUCGAAUUGAUAGAAAUGAUCCUCUGUAACGGAACCCGUGAAAAUAUCAAAAUUAUUCUUAUUUAAAAAUCAAAAUGGUUGGAAUGACCAACUAAAUGGUCAAAAAUACUCCUAUGUAAAGUUGAAAAUUAUUUAUUAAUCACAGGGAGUUAUAUAUAUUUUUUGAAAAUUAUAAGGGAGUUAUAUGGUAAAAUACUAAACUAUAAGGGAGUUAUAUGGUAAAAUAUAAAACCGUACGGAGUUAGAGUGUCAUGUAUAUUAUGUUGAUAUAUUUCGGUCACUUCAGCCAUUUUAGUUUUUAAACAAUGGUAAUUUCGAUAUUUCUAUGGGUUUCGUUACAAAUGAUCAUUUCCGUUAUUUUGACACUUUAAUCUAAAUUAUGAGGGAUUACAUAUAACUUUUGAAACUAUAAGAGAUUAUGUGAAAAAUUGCUAGACCACAGGGGAUAAAGUGUAUUUUACCCAUUGAAUAUUGGACUUGACACUAGGAGAUGGAAAGCGUGCGGAGAGUGGUGGAAAAGGUAAAAUUUUUUUUUUCCUAAAAAAAAUCUCAUAGAAAAAUACCAUAAAAUAGCCUAUUUAUAACCCUCUGAACUUAAGUGAAUGAGAAGCCACUCAAACACGGGAUUACUUAAUAUAACACCAAUUGCUAAAUUUAAAUUAACGAAAGUCCUAAAAACUUGUUUUAUUUUGUCAGCAACUUACAGCUGCCAGUUUCAAUAGGAGUAAUUAUUGUGAGGCUUUGUGCUGAUACAAAGUCUUGGUUAAUGGUUCAUUGACUUGACACUACCCGGACGUGGGUUUUAUUUUGAUCUUCUUUUCUUUCUAGGCAGUUUCCGGGACGCUGGACGGGUCAAGGUCAUCCUCGUUGCGACCGCAUUCGCCCUCUCGUUUCUCGUAAGGUUAUUGCCUUCAAAAUUCCUCUGUUCACUUUUGUCCUUUGAACUGGCUUUCAAAUCGUGUAAAUUGCAUAUUAAUUCUUCAAAUUAUUCUUGGAAACCCCCUGUGGCUUUUCUUUUUUUAAGAAAAAAGAAUGAAAAGCAUUGCUUAAUUAAUUGGUCAGUAAUUCAGUAAGUUUCGCUACAUCUCCAUGCUUUAGUAAACUUCUCAAAUUAAUAUAUAGCAAAGUAAUAUGUUUCCCCUCUAUACAAAACUUGAAGCUAAAGACAGUAGGCUAGGAAAUAAAACCAAUUCUAAUUCUAUUUUAAGCUCGUAUAGCCAUAUUAAAUGUUACUAUUUCAAUAUUACGAAGAUCGGAAAGGAACAUAUUUAUGGGAUUUGGACUGUAGUUAAUUGCUAUGCAGUCAUUAAUUUAGAAUUAUUUGAACGCAUUUCCCUUGCUAAAGCGGGUAGAAACUUCCACUUUCUUUCUUGCACCAAAUAUGAUAAUAAUUGCUAUAGGUCCCAUACUCUUUUGGAUUAUUCACAUCAAAGGACAAUUUCUAGUCGCUGGUCCUUCUCAUCAUUUCAUUUUUUAUGACUUGGUAACACCUUCUUAUUUCCAAACCUUUUCUCCAACUUCACUCGUCACCGUUUCUCAUUUCACCAAUUCACCCUCUGGACUGAGAGGAGAGAUACAGAGCUCAACAAUUCACCAAAGAGGCAGAAGAUAUAGAGAGCCCGAAACCAUUUGAAGCAAACCUGUUUUGUCUGCUACCGUAAGUUUCAUUUCGCUUCGACUUCACUGCAUUUUUAAUUUUCAAUUUUUGCAACUGCUUGGCAUUUUGUUAAAUUCGUGUCAUAUGGUCUUAGCAAAAUUAAUUAUUGUUCUUUAUUAUUACUAAUAUUCUUUUAUAAACUCUACAAUUAGUUUCCAGUUUGCUUUCAAGUUUGCAAGUGAAGGUUUGAGGUUGAGAAUGAGGAGAUAUAAACAAUUUUAGUUGGAAGAUUGGCAAUUAAAAUAUUUUGCCAACUUAUUUUAGUUGAUUGUCUAUUAAUUUUUCAAUUUUUAGAAAAAAAGGAAAUUUUCGUUUCGUUUUCCUUUUCAAAAUUCAUCUUCUUAUUAGUUAAUUUUCAUGAAAAGGAAAAAGAAAAGCAAAGGAUUUCAUUUUGAAAAUCAACAAAUCAAACAGAAAAAAAAAAGAAAAGAAAUAUUGUAGAGAUCAUUCCUUGCUAGUUUCGUUCAUAACCAAACAAGAUGAGGGAUUUAACAUUUCCAAAGCAAUUUACUUUUCUUUUCUUUGAUUUCCUUUUCCUUGCUAAAUUCGGAGAACAAAUUGGGCCUUAUUGCUAGGAAUCUUCCCCCCCCCCCCCCCGGUCUUAAGGUCAUGCUAUGGUUAUGUUAACGCGCUCAUUAGUAUAAAUCCUGAAUCAACUGGAGUUGAAAUUGAUGAAAACGUGUUUGAUUUUGAAACUCUUGAUCCCAUGCCCAUAAGAUUUUCAGAAAGAGGAUUAGUUUGAGUUUAUAUGAAGAUUGAUUUGAUAUCUAAAAAUAUAAAGGCCUUCCAUUUCUAGAUCACUGGUCAAAUUAUAAACUUCAAAACAUGUGAUGCCAUAUUCCAAAAUCAACUUUUUUUUAAAAUAUAUAUAAUCAAUCUAAGAUAGUCAUGAGAUGGUGUCCUCUAUUUUCAAUGGUACCUUAAAACUUCAAUAUUUUGGAUGCACCGUGGAAGAAUUCUUUCGACAAUUUAUCUUACAAGGCUACAAUUCUCUCAAGGCAAACCAAAGUUUGGUGUUUUGAAUACCACCAUGAAGCAAAAUAAAUAAAAGUUCAGAAAUUACUUUUUUUCUUAUGCACUUUUUCUGCUAUACUAGUAGAAUUGGGUUGAGUAUGUUAGACAAAUACAUGAUGGUUGUGAUCUUCUUGUUUUAGUUGCUGUAUUAUUUUUUUUUUGGGUAUCAAUUUCUAUGUUUUAUCAUACAGUUAAAUGGGAUAAUUGUUGAGGUAUAGGAUACGAAUUUAGCUGAAGCCCUGAGAUUGAACCAUAGAACCUAUUUCCUAUUUCUGCUUUAAUAAAAAUUACAAUAGAACUAAACAAAAAUAAUAGUAAUGGUAACCGAUUAUUUCUGAAGAAAGAAAGCUAAAGUUUCCUAUAGUUUUUUGCAAUCCUAUUAUACUUCAAAUGACUGAAGCAAGGAGAGCGGAUCAUCCCCAAGUCUAAAAAUUUAUGUUAUUUGUCCCCGAAAUUCUAAAAGAUUUUCAUGGGAAUAGGGGAUGACUUUAAAAAUCUUUCUAAUGUCAAGUCGAAUGGACGGUAACUGAUCAAGUGGACGUGAAAUGGAGGGUUAAAAAAAUCUUUAAAAACAAAAAGUAAAA